rnacentral:rRNA from 1 species
AUGAUCAGAGAGUUCAUAAGAUGCAAGAAAAGUAUCCCAUACGCAUCGGAGGUCCCCAGCAGCAUAAAGUACCAUUUCAACCUCACAAGCAGGGGCUAUCGUGCGCUUGUGUUUAGCGGAGACCAUGAUCUUGUGAUACCAUUUUUGAGCACGCAUGCGUGGAUUAGAUCCUUCAACUUCUCCGUAGUCGAUGAUUGGAGAGCAUGGCAUCUUGAUGGCCAAGCUGCAGGAUUUACAAUCACAUACGCCAACUAUAUGACAUUUGCGACAAUAAAGGGUGGUGGCCACGUAUCCAUAGAACACCGACCUAAGCAAUGUCUUGCCAUGGUUCAACGCUGGUUGGAUAAUGAGCCUCUAUGA